GGCGACCCCCUGCAGACUGGGUGGGUAAAGGCACUGGGGCAGGACCCAGCGCAUGCGCCGUCGGUCCUGGGCGGUGGGGGCUAGGCGGGGGCGGGGUCCGACCACUUGACUGUGGUAGCUGAGGGACGUCUAGGAUGGCUGUGGCAGAGGUGGACUACGCGUUGGUCUACGAGGGGACGGUGUAGAGUCGGAUCAUGGAGCGACUGAAAACUAGCGGUCCAGCCUCAGGACAGGCUGAGAGGAAUGACGCUGUAGCUGCCAUGGGACUGAAUGACUGACAGCCUGCUGUGAUUUAGGAAUGGCUGAUAAUAGUGGUGAGUGUUUGUUGGCCCUGGGCACUCUGUGGCUGGGGAUCCCAUACAGGGCCAGGAAUGAAGGGUCCUGUGGCAUCACUGAUUGGGGUAUGGGGUGUGGAAAAACUUUGAAUUGCAUUUACUUACAUCUUGUGGUUGGGUUGAGUUAUUUGGGGUUGUAGAAGAGUGGUAAGAGGAGCAUGUUUACAUUAGUGCCCAGAGCACUGGAGAGUAAUUGGAUAAGUAAUGAGGGUCUGUGAGGAGAAAUGAUUGUAGGGUUUGCAGGGUUUGCUGUUUGAGUACCUCAUGGGAUGAACAACUGGCAUGUCCAUAGGUGUAUAUGAUGGUGUAGGGUGAGUAUGGUGAGAAAUUGGGGGUCCUGUGGGUGUUGGUGAGCAGGAAGCCUGAAGAGUUCAGUGGCUUGUUUGCCACUGACUGUGAGCGAUUGUGGAGUUGGAAGUCAGUGACCUCUGGAUAUCUGCGCUAAGUGGUAUGGGGGCUCAUACUGUGCAGGUCUGUGGAGUCUGUGGUUGAAUAUUUCUGGAGGAUAGUCAUUGUAGAGGCACUGAGAGUCAGAGGCUGCGGCCUCUGCUGCAUGAGUCUUUGGGGAACCCAUAGUGUGUUUCCUUGAAGGCCCUGGAGGGGUGGCCUGUUGGGGAGAGUCCAGCAACCUGUGUAGUCAAUAAUUGUGGUUCUGUGAGGAUGAUAAGGGCACAUAAGGUGGGUGAAGUGGAGCUUAUGGGUCUGGAGGUUUGUGAAGGGCUGGUUAUGUUUAAAGACUUGGAGAGGACUAGGGGUGUGGAGCUGGAGGGCCGAGUUGUGGGUCUGGAGGCGGAUCUGGAUGGGUUUGGUCACGUGCAGCUUAGGCAAGCCUCUCACAGGGUGACUUCUGUUGAAUAGCCAUACUCACAUUGUUGCCUGGCCUUUUUCUGUAACCAG
rnacentral:lncRNA from 1 species